UAUUGCACAAUGGGCGCAAGACUGAUGCAGCGACGCCGCGUGUGGGAUGAAGGGGCUACGCCUCGUAAACCACUGUAGCCCGGGACGAAAAACGCCUUAGAGGCGUUAGACGGUACCGGGCAAGUAAGGGUCGGCUAACUACGUGCCAGCAGCCGCGGUAAUACGUAGGACACAAGCGUAGUCCGGAUUUACUGGGUGUACAGGGUGCGCAGGCGGAUGGGUAAGUCCGGGGUGAAAGUCUGCAGCUUAACUGUAGAAUUGCCUUUGAUACGGCUCAUCUUGAGUGUGGGAUAGGUUGAUGGAAUUCCAGGUGUAGCAGUGAAAUGCGUAGAUAUCAGGAGGAAUACCAGUGGCUAAAGCGGCACCCUAGC
rnacentral:rRNA from 1 species